rnacentral:lncRNA from 1 species
UUUUGUAGAAUUGAGUCGCCCGAAGAGAAGUAGAGAAUCAAAAGUAUAUACUUUUUCUCUGAGUUUGUUUUUAUUUUUAAGUUUAUUUUUCCCUGGUCUAUAACCGCUCCAUCAGUCCAUCUAGAGUAUUUGUCAUUCUUCUCAACUUGACAUUUUAGCUUUCAUCACUUUCAGUGACCAUAUUUACUAAUAAUUUGUUAUUCAAAUUCUCCAGCUGUCCCCAUUUAGCUAUCCUUGGAGCAUUUUUUGUCAGGUAAGCAUCUAACCUAUUGUAUAUCGUCUAUAUUUUGUUAACCUGCGGUAGAGUCAAUCUGGAGCAUUGAUUGAGUCCAUGGUAUUAUAGUUUGUUAAUCAGUCAUUUAUAGAAUAUUCUGUGAAAUUGAAGUCACUAUUGGUUAGUAUUAUGUGAAACUGAAGUCACAGUUAGUUUUCUAACUCGGGGCAACAGAGUUUUAUAGAAUUGAGUCGCCCGUAGAGAAGUAGAGAAUCAAAAAUAUACUUUUUCUCUGAGUUUGUUUUUAUUCUUAAGUUUAUUUUGUUUUCAUUCUUAAGUUUAUUUUUCAUGUGGUCUAUAACCGCUCCAUCUAGACUAUUUGUCAUUCUUCUCAACUUGACAUUUUAGCUUUCAUCACUUUUAGUGACCACAUUUAGAGGUUAAUACUAGAACAAAUGAAGUUGGAAGCAAUUGUGUGGGAACCCCUUUGCUAAAGAGGUUGAGUUUGAGAAUAGGAAUAGAUUUCUGAGGAUCAACUAUCGAUAGUUGACGUGUGAUUAGUUUUCUACAUGUUACAUUUAUUCAUUGAGGUAUAUCAUAAUCUAACAACUUUGUGUUUGUAUCUACCAAAAUCUUUCAGCAAUGACAUCUUUGGUAGAAUUCAGUUUGCUAAUUAUUGAAAGAAGCCAACAUUUGUAUUCCUUAUGGAAAGAAGAUAGAAGCUCAUAUCUUUUAUACAUAUAAGAACUAGGUAAGCUUGGCAAUGAGGGAGCAAGAAUCGUGUUUACCCUUUGAGGCGGAAACAGAGAUAGAGGUUCAACGUAGUUGGAGCUUCCAAGGUCAUAAAUGUCUUCUACAUAGUCGAGUGUAUCUUAGUAGUAGGAUUUACAAGUUUGAUUCCUUCUCUUCUUUAAAGUCUAUUUGUAACCUGAUAGGACUAUCUUUUAAAAAUUGAUUAAGUUCAUGAUUAUCUGUCAGCCAUUAUCAUUUUUCUUUUAGUUUUGUGAUUUUCACAGUUUUCAUUCCUUAA